AACUGAUACUACCUGCGGGAACCUGCGGAAGGAUCAUUACAUGGCGGAGGAGGUGGGCACCUAGUAAAAACAAAACCCUAGGUGUGUUGCCUACCACGCUUUCUACCCUUGUCUAUUUGCACCUUUUGUCGUUCCCUCGGUGGGUCUUGAACCUGCCGGCGGCAACUUUCAAAAACCUUUUGUAGUUAGUAUCUAAUUCUUCUGAUCAAAUAUUCAAUCGUUACAACUUUUAACAACGGA
rnacentral:misc_RNA from 1 species